UAACGAACAUAUCAUCACCUGAAAUGCAAAAAGACGUAACUAAUAAAAAAUUCAAAAUUCACUUUUUUAUUGAUAUGAUGGAUAUCAUCGAAUUACAAAUCCCCGCAUCGUUUAAU